rnacentral:misc_RNA from 1 species
UUUCCGUAGGUGAACCUGCGGAAGGAUCAUUAUUGUAUAACCGAGGUGCGAGGGCUGUCGCUGACCCGAAAGGUCGUGCACGCCCGAGUGCCCUCACACACAUCCAUCUCACCCCUAUGUGCACCACCGCGUGGGUCCCCCUUUGGCUUGUUCGGAGGGGGGCUUACGUUUUCACACAAACUUUGUAUGCAGUGUAGAAUGUAUUUUUUGUUUUUGCGAUCACGCAAUCAAUACAACUUUCAACAACGGAUCUCUUGGCUCUCGCAUCGAUGAAGAACGCAAC